AAGAAAACCGAAAUAUUAAUGAUGAUUUUUCAUAAUAUUAACGAUAAUUUUUUAAAAAAUAUUAUAGUACGCAGGAAUAUAUUUAAUUUACACAUCCAAUAAUUCAAUAAAAUAAAAUAAUUAAUGCCGAAUCCAACGGCUCAAAAUCACCAGAUCACCAAUUUUUCAAUUUUCUUCUGGGCGACAUCGUUUUUCAUCAUCAUCUUCACAGUCAUCAUCUCCACUCUCACUAGAUCUCCACCACCUGCAACUCAAAUGGCGGACCCAGCUCUCCACCCAGAGACUCCUCCAUACCACAAAACCCAACCCCUCAAACAGAUCGCCAUCGACUACACUCCCGAUGCCUGUACUCACUGCUCCGAUUCCAAUUCCAUAACCCUCGUCUAUGACCACCGCGGAGGUGCACGGUGGAGGACCACCACGAGGUUCCUCUACGGCACUUUCAGCUCCCUCAUACAAUGCCCCAAGGGUAACACCAGCGGGCUCAAUUUCAACAUCUACCUCUCCUCCAUGGAAGGGGACAAGUCCCAGGACGAGAUUGACUUCGAGUUCUUGGGCAGAGAUAGGAAUUUGGUGCAGACUAACUAUUAUACUACCGGUACUGGCAACAGAGAGCAAAUCCACGAUCUGGGUUUUGAUUGUUCUGAUGGGUUUCACCGCUACGUGAUCAAGUGGGGUCCUGAUUUGAUCGAGUGGUUGAUUGAUGGCAAAGUUGUGAGGAAGGAGGAGAAGAGGGAAGGUGAAUGGUUUCCUGAGAAGCCAAUGUAUUUGUAUGCUUCGAUUUGGGAUGCAAGUUAUAUUGAUGAAGGGAGGUGGACUGGGAAGUAUGAGGGGUGUGAUGCACCUUAUGUUUGCCUCUAUAAGGAUGUUCAUGUUCCAGCUGAGACUGCCAUUGAUGGUUGACUUGGAAGUUAGUUUGGGGAUUUGGGGUUAUUUGAUUUUGGUGAGUUUCAUGUUUGAAAGUGUGAAUAAAAUAGUUUGGGGAUUUGGGCUUAUUUGAUUUUGGUGUCUUUGUCUGGUGGUGGAUUGAGGAAAAACGGAGGCAUUUUUCGUGGCAAAUUGGAUUUUGGGUUGGUUGACCCGAGAUUAGGAAGAAGUACAAUAAAAAGGUAAUACUUUCGUCACAGAAUCUGAGGCCAGGAUUUUCAUGAAGUGAUUGAAAACUUUUGUACUACAUAUUGCAUCCAAUGUAUUCUGCUUAUUUUUUUUAUUUGUUCAAUGUUAAUUUUCAACCACUCACCUACUUGAUAAUCAUUCAUAAUCUCCAAGCAUAGGUCUGUGUUUUAGCUUUGUUUCAAGUCAAUUUCUUUCAAAUCAAUACCAAAGAGCAUGCUGGAAAGUGAACAGUUAGUCUCCUAGUACUGUCAUGCGCAAAAAUGUGUUCUUAGUGUGGAUUCUCCAUUUCUGGACAUACUUUCUGUUAUUCUUUUUUUUAUUUGUCUGCAUAUGAGAGUACUAUUAAAGAAUGGUGAGAGCUUGGUAUAAUUUUAGAUUUUCACCAUAAUUAUUAUGAAGUCGAUGUGGUUUACAUCUUGAUCUUUUUCUUUUUCUUUCAUAUAUUUCAGAGUAAAUGAUACCAAAGUAGUUAUAGGAAGAUUAAUGCAGGGUUUGAUUUGAUUUUGUUUUCGAUAAGAUUAGUGUCUUUGUAACUUAUAAUUAUCAAACGCACUUGUUUUCUUUCUGAUUAUAGAAGUGCAGUGAAAGUGUAUCACCAUUUUUUUCUUUUAUUUGUGAGAAUGUAGUUUGAGCAAAGUUAGAUGAUUCGUUUUGCGCACUACUAGAAUUGAAGGGGCUUUGUGAUAGUGGAUUUAUUAUAGUGGGAGGAGAGACCUUUUCUGUGUGGUGGAGGUUACAAAAGAAUCCAUUAUGCUUUUAACCCCCCAAAAAAAAAACAAAAAAAAAAAUCAUUUAGGGAGAGAAAAGAAUCCACAUUUGAAAUGGACGUUUAGAGGUAAUUUCACAAAAAGAUUCUAAUUAAAAUAUUGGAGAAGCUUCAAAGUCAAAGUCAACGUAGAGUAUUUCCACCUUCAAUAUGAUUACAUAUUUACCUCAUCUUUUUAUUUGUUCAUUUAUUUUUUUAAAAAAGCUUAUAAUUAUUUUGUUUGUCUUUUUGCUGAAUGGGUUUUCUUCCCUAUGUUACUGG